rnacentral:rRNA from 1 species
CCUACGGGAGGCAGCAGUGAGGAAUAUUGGUCAAUGGACGAGAGUCUGAACCAGCCAAGUAGCGUGAAGGAUGACUGCCCUAUGGGUUGUAAACUUCUUUUAUAAAGGAAUAAAACGAGGCACGUGUGCCUUUUUGCAUGUACUUUAUGAAUAAGGAUCGGCUAACUCCGUGCCAGCAGCCGCGGUAAUACGGAGGAUCCGAGCGUUAUCCGGAUUUAUUGGGUUUAAAGGGAGCGUAGAUGGGUUGUUAAGUCAGUUGUGAAAGUUUGCGGCUCAACCGUAAAAUUGCAAUUGAUACUGGCAGUCUUGAGUACAGUUGAGGUAAGCGGAAUUCGUGGUGUAGCGGUGAAAGGCUUAGAUAUCACGAAGAACCCCGAUUGCGAAGGCAGCUUACUAAACUGUGACUGACAUUGAUGCUCGAAAGUGUGGGUAUCAAACAGGAUUAGAUACCCUGGUAGUC